CGAAUCAUUCACAAUGGGCGAAAGCCUGAUGGUGCGACGCCGCGUGGGGGACGAAGGUCUUCGGAUUGUAAACCCCUGUCACCAAGGACAAAACGUUGACCAUUAAUAGUGGACAGCCUGAUUUAACUUGGAGAGGAAGCAGUGGCUAACUCCGUGCCAGCAGCCGCGGUAAUACGGAGACUGCAAGCGUUGUUCGGAUUUACUGGGCGUAAAGGGUGCGCAGGCGGCCGGGUGUGUCGGGUGUGAAAGUUCGAGGCUCAACCUCGAAACUGCGCUCGAAACUAUCCGGCUAGAGUAUUGGAGAGGGAAGCGGAAUUCAUGGUGUAGCAGUGAAAUGCGUAGAUAUCAUGAGGAACACCAGUGGCGAAGGCGGCUUCCUGGACAAUUACUGACGCUCAGGCACGAAAGCGUGGGGAGCGAA
rnacentral:rRNA from 1 species